rnacentral:lncRNA from 7 species
GGGCACAAAUGAGCACCUAGUGACAAAUUUGUGAUCUAGGACCACAAAUUGGAGUCCAUUUUCAGCCUAGGUCAGUUCUGUACUAAAGUCAGAGACAGCAGGAGCAGAUAAAAUACAAGAAUUCUUACGCAAAAUAAAUAUGGUCAUCUGCAUCGGAAAGUAAACCCCCAAGAAGCAGGGGAAGUAAAGAAUCCAUUGGAAAAUCAGAGAUGGUGAGAAAUAAUCUGGUGUGGAUUUAAGUACCAUUAUAAAGGAACCCUUCAGAACAACUCAAAAGCUAAUAUUAUUGAAAAGGACUUGAAUAAUUGAGAAACGAUCAGAAGUUUUGAAAUGUUAUCAGGAAAAAAAAAAAAAAAAAGAAAUCCAUUUGUUAUUUUUUCCUGCUACCUGUCUAGAAAUAAUUGAUAUAUGAUGAUUUAUUCGAAAUUUAAAAUAUUCCUAAGGAUACGCCUUGGCAAGAUUCAUUGAGCUCUGUCAAAUGUUGCAUUUGUGAGUGCAGAAGAUACUCUUUACAGGAUUGUUGCUGAUGAGAAAUUUAGUCUAAGGAAACCUGAAAGUUAAAUGCUGCUCUGAAAGUGGUAAUUCAUAUAGUAAUUCUUUUUCAUUUAAAAACUGAUUCUGCGACAAGCUGGAUGACAGCAGUCAUUUCUCAGUCCUACUAGCCCUCUUAACCUUACUGUUGAGUUAGAAGUGUAACAGAAAAUGCCUAUGAGAAUAAAAUUUAUCAGUCAGCACAAGUCUAGAUAUAAUGUAAGCUGCAUGUGAAAAAGCACCCUUGUGUUAUGAUUGCAUAUUUAUGUUAAUCAUUGCACCCAUAUUUUCACUCCAUUAUAUUAGUUGAGUGCUUAAUCCAAAAUCUGGAUGCAUUCAGGCACAGCAUUCUGUCUCCCCAGGAUUCUUCUGGAGGACACAGAGCUUGAGAUGUUGCUCCAGUAAUAUUUCUAGGUUUUAAAAAAAAUCCAAAUAGUACCGAUGUCCUUGACCAUUUAUUGAGUACAUGACAAAACAAAGCUAAUGGCAUGAAGAAGUGUGAGGUUUAGUCAUACUUUAUUACAUGUAGAAAUAUAUGUCUACUCAUGCUUUUACUGAAGCUGGCAAUGAAAUAAAUUUCACAUUAGCUAGAACAGACCAUACUAAAGAGAACUCAAAGUUGUUCUUGUCUUUUCAGAGGCACUGAUAAAGGGACUCCUGCUUGCUGUCAUUUCAAUUUCUUUUCUCUGCCCCUUAGGAAAAAUGUAGUGAGGGAUAGAGAGAAAAACAGGUUUUUUUUUUCCCCUGGUUAGGAAAUGCCGUAACAGAAUAGUUCAGACAGUUUUAAGUCUCUUUCAAGACCAGCAUCUUAAAAAAAAUCUCUGUGUUGAGACAUAAGUGCUGGUAGAUACAGUUAUGUUUAGAUGCCGUGUGCAAAAAUCCGCAGCGUGAAAGGGAUACACAAACAAGGCCUCUUUCUCUCUAGCAUAAUUGAAUUCUUCCUUUUGUUUAGAUAGUGAAUGUAUUUUUUAUUGUUGGCAGUUCCUUGUGUUAUGAGUUAGUGUACAAUUAUAAUUCAUGCAUAUGUAUUUACAAAAAUGAAUGAGUGACUGGUUCCCUGGGAUUUUUACCAACUUUGGUAUCUGAGCAUCAAUGAAUAUAAAAAGCAAACAAAUACACUGUUAAUAAUAAUUUCCAUAAGACUGCUCCAAAAGAGUAAGCUACAUAUUAACAUGCUGAAAAUGAUUUAGGACAGACCAUAAAUGUCUCUAUUUUAAGUCUUUUGCAGGGACAACUUUGCAAAAUGAAAAUAUUUAUCUAAGGUGAUGGUUAAUAUUUCAUAAAAUCAUCAAAUCUCCUUGCCAGAGGAUACAAGCCAAAUGUUUUUAACUGGAAUAUCAUGC